rnacentral:rRNA from 1 species
AACGAACGUUGGCGGCAUGCCUAACACAUGCAAGUCGAACGAGACCUUCGGGUCUAGUGGCGCACGGGUGCGUAACGCGUGGGAACCUGCCCUUAGGUUCGGAAUAACUCCCCGAAAGGGGUGCUAAUACCGGAUAAUGUCUUCGGACCAAAGAUUCAUCGCCUUUGGAUGGGCCCGCGUUGGAUUAGCUAGUUGGUAGGGUAAAAGCCUACCAAGGCGACGAUCCAUAGCUGGUCUGAGAGGAUGAUCAGCCACACUGGGACUGAGACACGGCCCAGACUCCUACGGGAGGCAGCAGUGGGGAAUAUUGGACAAUGGGCGAAAGCCUGAUCCAGCAAUGCCGCGUGAGUGAUGAAGGCCUUAGGGUUGUAAAGCUCUUUUACCCGGGAUGAUAAUGACAGUACCGGGAGAAUAAGCUCCGGCUAACUCCGUG